GGGAUUGUGGCUCAGCGGUAGAGCACUCGCCUAGCAUGCGAGGAGACCUGGGUUCGAUCCUCAGCACCA
rnacentral:tRNA from 1 species